AGCUGAUCAGCAUGCCGCGUGCAGGAUGAAGGCCUUCGGGUUGUAAACUGCUUUUGUACGGAACGAAAAAGCUUCUCCUAAUACGAGAGGCCCAUGACGGUACCGUAAGAAUAAGCACCGGCUAACUACGUGCCAGCAGCCGCGGUAAUACGUAGGGUGCGAGCGUUAAUCGGAAUUACUGGGCGUAAAGCGUGCGCAGGCGGUUAUGUAAGACAGAUGUGAAAUCCCCGGGCUCAACCUGGGAACUGCAUUUGUGACUGCAUGGCUAGAGUACGGUAGAGGGGGAUGGAAUUCCGCGUGUAGCAGUGAAAUGCGUAGAUAUGCGGAGGAACACCGAUGGCGAAGGCAAUCCCCUGGACCUGUACUGACGCUCAUGCACGAAAGCGUGGGGAGCAAACAGGAUUAGAUACCCUGGUAGUCCACGCCCUAAACGAUGUCAACUGGUUGUUGGGAAUUAGUUUUCUCAGUAACGAAGCUAACGCGUGAAGUUGACCGCCUGGGGAGUACGGCCGCAAGGUUGAAACUCAAAG
rnacentral:rRNA from 1 species